rnacentral:lncRNA from 1 species
GGGAGCCCCGCACCGCCGUGGCCAAUGGGCUUCGCCGCUUGCGGGACCGGCAGCCAGUGGGCGGGCGGGAAAGCUGGGCUAAGCCCUGGGGCACCCUGGGAGUCGUAGUUUUUCGCCGUCGAGGAGUUCCUGCAGAGCGGGCUCACCCCGCCCGGUUGCCAUUAGUUACCCGGACGCACCUCCCACCCCACCACCGGAAAAGGAAAGCUGAAGCAGAAAGGCUAAAAGCAACUUGCCCCCGGGGUCCUGAUAAGUUGGCAAAUUGGGAAUUAGACCCAGAUCUGCCUGACACCAGAGUCUGAGCCUUUUAACACUGCCUGUCUUUCCUGUGAAAACCAGACAGCACCCGCUCUCAAGCAUGAGAUGAUGCCUCAACUGAUCACCAACUCUGCAGAGGCAGUCACUGAUACUAUCAUUUUCAUCUCCUAAUUGGAUUCCUAGGCAAAAGUGGACAUAUUCAACCUACAAUUAAAGAUGCUUAUAUUUUAC